rnacentral:lncRNA from 1 species
UAUGGUGCAACUAAACUAAAUACCUCAGUUGCAUCUCUUUGAGUCCCUGAGAAACUGAGCUUGGCAUCUUCAUGGUGCCACGAACUAAUUUUAGCAGUCAUACAAAUUACAGGACCUAUGGUGCAACUAAACUAAAUACCUCAGUUGCAUCUCUUUGAAUCCCUGAGAAACUGAACUUGGCAUCUUCAUGGUGCCACAAACUAACUUUAAGGGUCAUAGAAAUUACUGGACCUAUGAAGCAACUAAACUAAAUACCUCAGUUGCAUCUCCUUGAGUCCUGAGAAACUGAGCUUGGCAUCUUCAUGGUGCCACGAACUAAUUUUAGCAGUCAUAGAAAUUACUGGUCCUAUGGUGCAACUAAACUAAAUACCUCAGUUGCAUCUCUUUGAGUCCCUGCCUGAAUUCAGAGCAGAACUGCAAUUACGACUGGUGUAUGUAAGACAUAACAAAAUCUGUUAUGUCUGAACAGAGCCUCCAUACCUGAGAAGCAUCUCUUUGAAUCCCAAAGAAGCUGCAGUUGCCACCUUCAUGAGUCACACAGAUCACGAACCCAAACGGCAGCUGGACGAAGUACCUGAGACGCUUUGUCUCCAGCCUGGAAGAUGGACUCGUCGUCCUCAGCGGAGGAGGCAGAAGAGGAUGUGGAAGAAGCCUGCUUUGAUAUCCAUCCUCCAUCAUCUUCAAGACUUCAGCAUCUUUCCGGGAGAGUUCAGACUUUCCUGGGCUGUCCAGCGAGCCUGCACGUGCAUCCUCAGAAGUGCGUACGCUUCUGACCUCACUGCCAUCGCUGGACGUGGGGCAGCAACCCAAGAGAAUCUGUGUAAGUUGUAUAUGUACAUACUUGUUAGAAAGUUUUAAUGCUCAAUAAAUAUUUCAGAGUGCUUAAAAGGACA